AUUGAACGCUGGCGGCAGGCCUAACACAUGCAAGUCGAGCGGAGCGGCAGACGGGUGAGUAAUACCUAGGAAUCUGCCUGGUAGUGGGGGAUAACGUUCGGUACCGGGCGCUAAUACUGCUAACUAUCACAUGAGGAUAUGCCGGAUUAGCUAUUGGGUGGGGUAAAGGCCUACCAAGGCGACGAUCCGUAACUGGUCUGAGAGGAUGAGAAGCCACACUUGAACUGAGACACGGUCCAGACUCCGACGGGAGGCAGCAGUGGGGAAUAUUGGACAAUGGGCGAAAGCCUGAUGCAGCCAUGCCGCGUGUGUGAAGAAGGUCUUCGGGUUGUAAAGCACUUUCAGUUGGGAGGCGUUACCAGCAGAAUAAGCACCGGCUAACUCCGUGCCAGCAGCCGCGGUAAUAC
rnacentral:rRNA from 1 species